GCUGACUGAGGCACAACCAACGUAGACUAACAUGCCUUAGGUAUCACUGGGGCAGUAUCUCUUUGAGCACCUCAUUCUCAAGCAUGACUAGGAGGCCUCUGUGCCUUCC
rnacentral:miRNA from 14 species